rfam:Elusimicrobia bacterium GWA2_51_34 gwa2_scaffold_98, whole genome shotgun sequence.
GCCGAGGUGGCGGAACUGGCAGACGCGUACGGCUUAGGACCGUAUGGGGUAACCCGUCGGGGUUCAAGUCCCCGUCUCGGCA